CGUUUCUCCGCCGGCGACCGGCGCACGGGUGAGUAACACGUAUGCAACCUGCCCCUGUCAGGGGGACAACCCGCCGAAAGGCGGGCUAAACCCGCGUACAUGCCACCGGGCAUCCCGGAGGCAGGAAAGGCUUCGGCCGGACAGGGAUGGGCAUGCGGCGCAUUAGGCAGUAGGCGGGUAACGCCCACCUAACCGACGAUGCGUAGGGGUUCUGAGAGGAAGGUCCCCCACACUGGUACUGAGACACGGACCAGACUCCUACGGGAGGCAGCAG
rnacentral:rRNA from 1 species